UUAAAUUUUUUUAAGCCUGCUUAAUCUAGGAGACUUUCUUUUCUCAUUUACAGGGGAGUUUUGCACAGUCCUUCUGACAAGUGCAAGAUCGCCAGUGGGAAUGAGACCUGUAAUUAAUGCGUUGAAUGUUCAGUGCAAGCAAAAGGCUCUUGGAUGAAGAAGCUCUUCUGGGUCUGUCAGGCGUCUGACAAGAGGACAAACAGUGUUAGCUGGAAUGGUGGAAUCUGUGAUAUGUGAUACAUUUAAUGCAAGGUCUCUGUCUGAGUCCGGUUCAAAUAGUUCAACGAAUUCCAUGUAGACUCACCGUCUUAGGACUGAUAAAGGUUGAUACCUGGACUGCUUAACGGAGAAAAAUCUGAGCAUGUGGUUUCCAGCAUUCAUUGGCUGGUGAGAAUCAAAACCUCUCCUCAUUUGCCCAAGGAUCCUAAUGUUUUUGCAGUAAAUUUUUUUGGAAAAGGCAGAAAAAUGCCGAUACUUCACAGAGAAUAUAGAUAGAAAAGAACAGCAGG
rnacentral:lncRNA from 1 species